UACGUAGGUGGCAAGCGUUGUCCGGAUUUAUUGGGUUUAAAGGGUGCGUAGGCGGCCUUAUAAGUCAGUGCUGAAAUAUCCCGGCUUAACCGGGAGGGUGGCAUUGAUACUGUAGGGCUUGAGUAAAGUUGGGGUUGGCGGAAUUGACGGUGUAGCGGUGAAAUGCUUAGAUAUUGUCAAGAACACCGAUAGUGAAGACAGCUAACUAAGCUUUAACUGACGCUGAGGCACGAAAGUGUGGGGAUCAAACAGG
rnacentral:rRNA from 1 species